UCUAGACGGGUCCCCUCCCGACCCCUGCUGUGCAGUCAUAGACAGGCCCAUUUCCCAGCUCUCACUUCUGGUGACAUCCUCUUCUCUGGCUGCACUUCUACCUUCUCCAAAACAUCAGAGGAGUGUUCUAAAUUAGGCUACCUUUGGAGACCGGCUUCUGUCACUCAGCAAAGUGCCCUGACUCUCCACAGUGCCGUGUUUCUGCUGUUUCUCUCACUGCUGAGCAGCCUUCAUCUUUAUCAAUAUACCUUGGAAUAAAUCUUUUCACCCAGGGAAGGAUGUUUGGGUUGUUCCCCGGUCUUGGCAAUGUGGGUGCCGUCCUAAAGGAACCCCUGCAGACAUGGUGAAUGUCAGUUACCUGCACUGGUCAUUUGGAACCACGGAAAUACUUUUCUGUCACCAGCCUGGAGCUCAUUCUAAGAGGCGGACAGUCACUCGGAGGAAACGGAGGCCCAAAGAAGUGAAGAAUCUUGUCCAAGAUCACACCAUCAGCAAGAGGAGGAGCUGGGACUUGCACACAGAUAGUCUGGCUAUAGAAUUGGAGGCGUCUCCAUGAUACAAUGCUGUCUCCCAAGAAUUGGGGUAGUUGAGGAUUUACAUUCUCCCUGGGAGAUCAGUUAAGUUAGAGAUAGAAGAUGGGAAAACAGAGGCCAGAAUAGAUGGUGAUGAUGUCAGGAAGUGGGAGGAACUUGAACUGAACUUAGGACAUGGAUGAAUAUGUGUAAGGGUCUGCUUGGCCCAGGGGAGUAGAGAAGGUUCCAGAACAGGAGAAGAGAAGGAGCAGAGGUGACUGAGAGCAUGGCUAGAGUUAUUGGCUGAAGAGCUCAAAACUGUCCAGGGAAGAGGACUCUCCUUCAGUCAAAGGCUGUUUUCACACAUGGACAGGAGUCCCAGCACUGGGGACAAAGGAAGGACUGGAAACUGGGAGACUUGGCUUAAAGUUGGACUUUGCCACCUAUUCCCCAAGCAACUUUCAGCAAGUCACCUAAUCUCCAGUGUCCAGUUUGCCUAAAAGAAAAUAGGAAGAAUGCCUGUAGAUUAAGAGGGAAAAUUUUUGCAUUUUAGAAGAAAUUCAUUUAUUUAUUUCUUCAAAAAUAUUCCUUGAGCACUCAUGGUGUGCCAUGUUCUGUACUAGAUGUUGGAACAGCAAACAAGAGUAAUGAGAUUGCUGCCCUCCUAGGACUUGGAGGCAAAGCAACAAAUCAGCAGGCAAAAUAACUUCAGAUCAUGAGAUAGGUUUUAAGGAAAGCUCAGGGUUAGAAUGAAUGGAAAUAAAUGUUUUGUGGUAUCUGGGGCAGUGUCUGGCAUGUAGCAAGCAACCAGUGCCUGUGGCUUUCGUUUCCCAUAAUAUCAGGCAGUUCUGUUGUAGAAUUCAACAUAUUCAACCAUGGGGUGGAUACUCUUUGUUGUCUACCUGGCAGGCCUUUCUCAUUUCUCUUUUCUUCCCUGCUUAUAAAUCCUUCUUAGUUGAAGAGGUCCCAGCUUCUCACAAAGCACAAGGCAGCCAAUCCCAGUGAGCCGAGUCACCUUGUCAGGGACUGGUUUGGGGAAGUCACAUGACUCAGUUCUGAUAAGGAGAUAUGAUGGGAAUCCAAAAAAGGGAACUCCGGGGAACCGGUUUCUGGCUCCGAAAACAACCAGCCAAACAAAAGGCACUACAGGAAAGCAGGCUCGUCAUUAUCCUGCUGAUACUUGUGUGUGGCAGUUAAAAAUGCAUUAGUCUUCUUGGGGAUUGAAAGGAGCUGGCCUGAAGAGCAAGAUAACAUGCUGAGUGUGACAGAGAGAAAGGUAAAAGUAAUAUGGGCACGUGAAGCUUGUUUGGACACUGAAUUGGUCACCUGCUAACCAUCCACUACACAUACCACUUUAAGUGAGAUUAAAAAAAUGAGGUACUCACGCGCAAAUCACUUGGGGUUAGAUUUAUUGUUAUGGGCAGCCAAAGCAUCCUGACCAGUAGAGCUGUUAAAUGUGGACAAUGAGACAUCAUGGGAACAGGAUUUAUUUUUUCCUAGGGGCUGUUGAUAAUGGGAAAGGAAGAGAGUUAGACUCUUACUGAUGUGCAGAUUUGGAAGAUUAUUAAAACAUUUGUUAGAAAAAUUCAUAAAGUAGGGAAGUCCUUCCUCUUCCCAUGGCAUGUCAGGGGUGUCUCCCGAGGACUCUGCUCCUCACCUGGGACAAGCAUGCCCUGCAGGACUCCCAUGGGCAAUGCGCUGAGGGUACUGAAAGCCAAAAUGGAUGAUGAGUAUCUCUAUGGAACUAGGUUCCACCAAAAUGUGGAAGAAGCGCUGAAAUAUAAUGUUUGAGGACAGGGUCUGUGUUGAUUUUGUCCACUCCUUUUUUUUUUUCUUAGUGACCAGAAUAAUUCCUAACACAGAAUAGAAACCCAACAAACAUCUGUGGAAUUAAUAAAUCAGCAGAUUAAAAUAAACACAGACAUGUUUUAGAACAAUAUGAGCACAGACAAAACCAGGUGGGGCCUUUAGAAGAUGGUUACGUCAUGAGGAUGGAACCUUCAUAAGGGAUCAGUGUUCUCAUGAAAGGGAUCUUAUGGAGCUGCCUGAACCUUUUUUUUGCCAUGAGAGGAUACAGAAAAAAAAAAAAAAGGCUGUCUAUGAACCAGGAAGAGGCCCUCACCAGACCCUGAAUCUGACUGUGAUCAAUACGUCACUACUGUUUUCAAGACACGAGUAGCUGGGAAGUCAUUUCUGAGGCAUUGCAAGGGGUCAGAUUCUUGUUGGAGGCACAGAGUUCAAAUGGCUUCAAAUCCCAACCUGUUCCCAUCUUACAUCGGAGGAGGCUGAGUCCAUUCAACUGAUGGUAGAGGAGGAACAAAAUCCAGACUCCUGGUCCUCCCUCUACUAUAUUGACAAAAAGAAAAGAGCCCCACAGCCACAGUAUGUUCUUCCCAUUACCAUGAGAUUUUCAGAAGUCAGAAUGAUUCUCAACGUCUUUGAGGCAGCAGCGAGUCCCCCAAUGAAGUCAAGUGGCAAAUCUAGGAUUACUCCAAACCCAAGUAGACAUUUUAAGACACCCUGAUUCACCCUGUGAGUUGUCUCUGGUGGAAGCAAGGCACGUUGAGAGCUGUGAGACCAGUCAAGUCGGGGCUGGUAUGACUCAUAGGCGGCAGCUUGCUGGCUGGUGGAAGAGCAUCUAGCUGGGCCCUGUUGCUGUGGAGACGUAGUCAACAAGAGUCUCAACGUGGGCACAAGUGUCACCUUCCCACUUAGACGGAGAUUCAAAGAUGAACAGAAUGUCUUCUGCAGCACUGAAGAGCUCAGCCUGUAGUGAAAGAGGGAGGAGGAGGACAGCAGAGAGAGCCUCCAGCCAGUAAGGGUGUCUGCUUUGUGUCAGUGAAGUCCUCUGUGGCCAUCUGCAUCAAGAGCAAUAUUCAUCCCAAACCCCAAUCCUCCCUAUUCCUUUUCCCUGUUCUGCUCCUCCCUACAUGGCUCUGGCCAAGAGGGCCCGCAAUCCUUGCAACCUGGCAUUCAUGACCUGAUAUUCUCCUCCCACAUCUGAUCACUGUCACAACCAAUAAUAGAAUACCUCCGAAGCGAAGCAAGGUAUGCCGCUUCCAAAAUUGAGUAUGAGCCUCCAUCUUAAUUGCUCUUACAUCAUUCACUCUGCUGCGUUGUGAACAGGUCUCUGGGAAGAACCAUAGGUGAGGGACAAAGCUUUGAGAUAAUGUCACAUGAGUUCACUUGGAACCAGACCCUCCAACCCUAUACAGACCUUCAGGUGAGACUUCAGAGCUACCUGGCCCUUGACUCCAACCUCGUGAGAGAGGCUGAGCUGGAGCCUCCCAACCCACUGCUCCCAGACUCCCAACCCUCACCAACCUUGAGACCACAAGUCUUUUAUGUUUUAAGGUGCUAAGUUUUGAAGAAAUUGUUAUACAUUAAUGGAUAACUAAUGCAGCAUCUGGUAUUGAAUAUGUUUAUUUGUUCAUUACUAUGGUUAAAAAAAAGUUCAUUAUUCCCCAAGUUAAAAGUGUCGGUCUCGAGGGUAGCUCUUUUCCUAUAUUCUAGACAUUAGAGAUGUCUAAUGCCUAGAACCCUACCCACAUCCUAAGUAUCAACAGUAUUUAUCAAAUGAGCUACUGGAGACUGCUGACCAUCAUUCUGAUGAACGGAAUGAAGACCUACAGCGUCUCAUUAGAUGUGGGAGAUCCUUAGGACACAAAGGACUAUCUUAUUUCUCUUUUGAUGUAACUGAUGGAGUGUUUUUAAAGUGGUGAACUCUACAGCUAAUAAAAUAACCCAAUCAGGCUCUCUAGAGGAAACAACACAGGCUGAUGUUUUUAUUCAGUCACACCUCACU